AGAGUUUGAUCAUGGCUCAGAUUGAACGCUGGCGGCAGGCCUAACACAUGCAAGUCGAGCGGGGAAAGGUAGCUUGCUACCUUACCUAGCGGCGGACGGGUGAGUAAUGCUUAGGAAUCUGCCUAUUAGUGGGGGACAACAUUUCGAAAGGAAUGCUAAUACCGCAUACGCCCUACGGGGGAGAGCAGGGGACCUUCGGGCCUUGCGCUAAUAGAUGAGCCUAAGUCGGAUUAGCUAGUUGGUGGGGUAAAGGCCUACCAAGGCGACGAUCUGUAGCGGGUCUGAGAGGAUGAUCCGCCACACUGGGACUGAGACACGGCCCAGACUCCUACGGGAGGCAGCAGUGGGGAAUAUUGGACAAUGGGGGGAACCCUGAUCCAGCCAUGCCGCGUGUGUGAAGAAGGCCUUUUGGUUGUAAAGCACUUUAAGCGAGGAGGAGGCUCCCAGUAUUAAUACUACUGGAGAGUGGACGUUACUCGCAGAAUAAGCACCGGCUAACUCUGUGCCAGCAGCCGCGGUAAUACAGAGGGUGCAAGCGUUAAUCGGAUUUACUGGGCGUAAAGCGUGCGUAGGUGGCCAAUUAAGUCAAAUGUGAAAUCCCCGAGCUUAACUUGGGAGUUGCAUUCGAUACUGGUUGGCUAGAGUAUGGGAGAGGAUGGUAGAAUUCCAGUGUAGCGGUGAAAUGCGUAGAGAUCUGGAGGAAUACCGAUGGCGAAAGCAGCCAUCUGGCCUAAUACUGACACUGAGGUACGAAAGCAUGGGGAGCAAACAGGAUUAGAUACCCUGGUAGUCCAUGCCGUAAACGAUGUCUACUAGCCGUUGGGGUCUUUGAGACUUUAGUGCGCAGCUAACGCGAUAAGUA
rnacentral:rRNA from 1 species